AGCUUCAGGUUGUGCCUGGUGGUGAAGGAACCCUUGGUGCUUGCUUGGUAAGUGGUAAGCGUUCUUUGUCAAGGGAUGAUAGGAAGAAAGCUUAUGAAAUCAGCUGGCUCCUGCAUCUUGACCCCACUCUCUAGGAAGUAGAGUUUCUGCACGAAGCAGAAACCAGCAGUCACUUCCCUGUUUAGGGCAAGGCUCCUCAGGGCUGUCUGAAGCCUUCCAUUACUGUUGUGCUAAUCUAUUGUUCUAAGAAUAGAGGAACUAAUUUGAUUUCUACAGCAAGAAUUGGGUCUGCACUAACUCACGUUAGGAUUGUAUGGUUGCUUGUAAUUGUCCUGCUGGCCAAUGAACAACUUGCGUGAAUUUAAUCUCCUGUGCUGACACGGUUGCUCCUAUUUCGGUUUUCAUUCUGUUGUGUGAUGUGCCUCUUCUUUGGCUCCCAGAGCUGAUAGAAUCUCUUCUGGUGAAUGUGGUGGUAUUAGCUCUGGGAAAGGGAGUACUCCCUAUGGUGGUGACCUUCUUGUUUCCCUUUGUUGUGUUUUGGGCACUCUCUGUCUCUGGACAGAACUCAGGGUUUUCAGAACCCAUUUGCCAGAGGCAGCAGGACAGCCAAUGCAUCCCUACCUGCAGUGCAGCCUGAAGGGUCCUCAACCCUUGGAUCUCACUCGGGCAUAGCUGGGAUCUGGAUUUCAGGAUGAGGAUGAAGCAGAGUUUACUAAGAAAAGAGACAGUGGCCAGUGCAGGGAUCAGAAGGAGAUGCACUUGAGUGUCUUAAAGAUAGUGUGGUCCCCCCCCCAUCUCUCUGUGUAUGCAUCAGAGGUUGAAGUUAUUAGACGAUAUUUUUUGUUCUCUCUCUGCCUUACUUUUUUAAGACAAGGUUUCUUACUGAACACGGAGCUCUCUGAUUAAAUUAGAUUAAUUUCCUGGAAAACCCCAAGGAUCUUCCCAUAGCUGCCUCCCAGGAACUGAGAUCAUAGGUGCAUGUCACCACAUGUGGCUUUUAAAAAACCUUCAGCUCUAGUGACAAAACCCAGGUCCUCAUAUUUGCAUGGAAAGCACUCUCCUGAGCUCUGUCCCUCUGAUUUCCUGGCUUUGGAAAUUACAUCAUUCAAAGGAUGUAAUCUGCAACGAGGUUCAAAGAUUAAGCUAAUUUCUAAAAAAACGAAGCAAAAGCUGUAUGAAAACAGGUUUACUUAUUUCUCGUGUCAAGAAGAAUUUCCUUCUGUGAAUGAUCGUAUAAGCUGGUUAUGGGGCUCAUUGUUCAGGAUUAAGGAGGAGAAUAAAUGUGUUUGUUAAAAGUCCAAAGGCAUAAAGGUUUAAGACUUACAUGUUCAGGGCAAGCAUGCAUGGUGCAUUAACACUUUUCCCACUGUUGUCUUUUACUCCAGGUUCAGUGAGACAUCCUGCCUCAAAGAAGCAAGGCGGAGAGAGACUGAGUGAAGGGCAUACAGGGGCUAUGCAGGCUGUCUAGGUAGUUAGUCAGGUACUAGUAGGGCUAUAGGCAGGUGAAGUAGGACCUGUCGAUCACGAUAAACUUUGGGUCUUACAUGCAGUGUCUCUGGUAACACACCAAUUUUAAUGGAGAGAAAAGUGUAGAAAUUGCUCUUUCUUCUUUUUUUUUUGGGGGGGGGGUUCGAGACAGGGUUUCUCUGUAUAACCCUGGCUCCCUGGCUGUCCUGGAACUUACUCUGUAGACCAGGCUGGCCUAGGACUCAGAAAUCUCCCUGCCUCUGCCUCCCAAGUGCUUGGACUAAAGGCAUGCACCACCACUGCCCGGAGCAAUUGCUCCUUCUUAAGGUUAAAAACAUCACAUGAACUCCAGGAGGGUGGAGGUACCAGAACUUGGUGGGAGCCCAUUGGUGCCCAUUGAACCUGGGGUGAAAGACGACAGCAGAAGAAGGGUUAAUGCACCCUGCCUGCUUGCCCUGAACAUGUAAGUCUUGAACCUUUUUGCUGUUCGAUUUUUAACCUUACGAGGUUGUUUCCUUCUCAUCACAUGGAGCUUCUUUCAUGGACUCAUUUUCUCCCUACUUUAGUUCCGUUAAAUGUGUCUUUUGGGCAACGGUAGGGAUAUGGAUUGUGUUUCUGGCCUUGGGUGGAGAUAAGACAUUCUAAACUAUUCACAUGAGAGUAUCGUUUCUAUGUAGGAGGAGCUUUCUGCUGAAGAACAAAGUCCUGCUAUCGUCCUCUCCCUCCAGAGCUCUUCCCAAUGUGCCUCCAGUUAUCUGGUCCUGAAGAGACCUGCCAGAAAAGCUGUCUAGUUCAGAAACUUCUGAGAGUAGAAUAAAGCCUACUUAAACAAGUGUGCCAGGGCCUUCAUCUCCUUAGCCGCUGUCCACUGCCAUCUGGUGAGUGUUUCCCAACCCAGACCUCUGUCACUGUGUACUCUCACCUUUGAGAAUGCCUCCUGUGUUCCCUAUGCUGCAGUAUGUGUCUUAUCUGAAGUCUUUCAGUGCAGAGCAUGAGAACAGGGAGCUGUCAGGAGACCGGAGCAAGGUCCUGAUUAUAUGUGUCAAAUUGUUCAUUGUCAGCUGUCCAAAAGAUCGCCUAGGUCAGCAGUAGUGUGGGAGUGAGGGGCCGUCUCCUUCUGUUCUAUGUGCGUACGCGACUUUAUUUCCCAUGUUUUUACAUGUCUUCCUCAGUUUUGAGCGGCUUCAAAGCCUGGGACCAAUCUUUGUUAACUAGUGUUAUUGUUAAUAGCAGCAGUAAAACAUUUAUUUCUGAAAAUAAUGAGUACAUUUAUAUAUUAAUUUUAAAUUAUAUUAAAAUGUAUAUACAUUUUCAAGUACUUAAAAUCUCAAAUGAUGAUGUAUGCUUUCUGAGUGAUCUCUAAGUAGUUCAGUGUCUUGCUUGAAUGUUAAGUGUAAAAAGUGUGAGGCAAGGUUGAAUCUGCAAUGGUAUGGAUUAUCUAAUAGAACUCUCUGUACCGGUUAGUCGUUUUGACACACGUAAGAAUCAUCAGAGAGGAGGGAGCCUCAAU
rnacentral:lncRNA from 1 species